rnacentral:rRNA from 1 species
AGCAGUAGCCGCGGUAAGACAGAGGAUGCAAGCGUUAUCCGGAAUGAUUGGGCGUAAAGCGCGCGUAGGUGGUUUGUUAAGUUGAAUGUGAAAUCCCCGGGCUCAACCUGGGAACUGCAUCCAAAACUGGCAAGCUAGAGUAGGGUAGAGGGUGGUGGAAUUUCCUGUGUAGCGGUGAAAUGCGUAGAUAUAGGAAGGAACACCAGUGGCGAAGGCGACCACCUGGACUCAUACUGACACUGAGGUGCGAAAGCGUGGGGAGCAAACAGGAUUAGAUACCCCCGUAGUCCCUGUCUCUUAUAC